CCUACGGGUGUCAGCAGUGGGGAAUAUUGCACAAUGGGGGAAACCCUGAUGCAGCGACGCCGCGUGAGUGAAGAAGUAUUUCGGUAUGUAAAGCUCUAUCAGCAGGGAAGAGAAUGACGGUACCUGAGUAAGAAGCCCCGGCUAACUACGUGCCAGCAGCCGCGGUAAUACGUAGGGGGCAAGCGUUAUCCGGAUUUACUGGGUGUAAAGGGAGCGUAGACGGCGAAGAAAGGCUGAAGUGAAAGCCCGCGGCGCAACCGCGGAACUGCUUUGGAAACUUUUUUGCUGGAGUACCGGAGAGGUAAGCGGAAUUCAUAGUGUAGCGGUGAAAUGCGUAGAUAUUAGGGGGAACACCAGUGGCGAAGGCGGCUUACUGGACGGUAACUGACGUUGAGGCUCGAAAGCGUGGGGAGCAAACAGGAUUAGAUACCCGAGUAGUC
rnacentral:rRNA from 1 species